CGACGUGGGGGCACCCUGACCGCAAUGCCGCGUGAGUGAAGAAGGCCUUCGGGUUGUAAAGCUCUUUUGUCAGGGAAGAAACAGCAGCUCUAACACAGUUGUGAAUGACGGUACCUGAAGAAUAAGCACCGGCUAACUACGUGCCAGCAGCCGCGGUAAUACGUAGGGUGCAAGCGUUAAUCGGAAUUACUGGGCGUAAAGCGUGCGCAGGCGGUUAUACAAGACAGGCGUGAAAUCCCCGGGCUCAACCUGGGAAUUGCGUCUGUGACUGUAUAGCUAGAGUGUGUCAGAGGGGGGUAGAAUUCCACGUGUAGCAGUGAAAUGCGUAGAUAUGUGGAGGAAUACCAAUGGCGAAGGCAGCCCCCUGGGAUAACACUGACGCUCAUGCACGAAA
rnacentral:rRNA from 1 species